rnacentral:lncRNA from 13 species
AGGGAAGACAGUUGCCUGAAGAGCAUGACAUUUGCUCCAGAGAAUUUGUCAGUUAUUAACUCAUCUUCAGAAGAAAGAUGGAGUCUCGUUCUGUUGCCCAGGCUGGAGUGCAAUGGCACAACCUCAUCUCACUGCAACCUCCACCUCCUGUGUUCGAGUGACUCUCCUGCCUCAGCCUCCGCCUCCGGAGUUGGGGCUACAGGACUGCCUGAGCUGGGACUACAGGUGCAUGCCACCAGGCCCAGAAUUUUGGGAAAGAUCAAUGUGGAAAGCAAUGAGCCUCCUACCCAUAUUCUGGGACGGGAACAGGAAUAACAGCCCAUGGCAAGCUGUGGUGAAACAGCCAAUCGAGUUAUUGUCAGUGGUCCCCUGGGAUCACGUGCCUAGUAUGGAAGAAACAAUGGAACCAGGGAAGAAAUGGACAUUAUCUAGAGGUUUGGACCUGGGGAAGUGCAACUCCAUUCCCUUUAGUUGCAAUAACUGGAGGAGACUUUAG